CCCCUCCCCUGGGUCCUGCCAAGUCGGUCAGAAGGAAAGAUGGGCAGCGGUUGGAAUAUACUUUUGACGGGAAUUUACUUUAUUGUGUUUAAUUGUAAAGCGUGGAAGUCGAGGCAUGAAUAUUCAGCGUCGCCGGCUGCUGGCGCGGAGCCGAGGUCUGUGUUCCGACGUGCCCAGCAGGGGGCCUGUCCGAGGGGGAGCGACGGUGAGGAAGCUAUUUAUUGAAAUAGCUUCAUUAAUUAGUAAUUAACAGCAGGGUAAUGACUAUGUCACACAUCGUAAUUCAGUGGAUGCCCUUCAUGUGUUAUGAGGCCUUUAAUUAAAGGACGUGCAUUUUAAUUAAAGGGGUGCUUGGCCCUUUGGCCUUUGCAAUACAAAAGACGCUCUCAACUUUCAAAGAAGCUGACAGGGAGGCUGUGCUCGUGCAUGGAGUGGGGGCUGCCGGGGGUGUCCACCCUCAGGGCACGCCUCGCCUUCCAGCCCAGCUCUGGCUGGUCCUCCUUGGAGUCCAUUGGACAACCUGGUGGCCAUGUGGGGUACAGGAGGGGCCCUGGGCCAGACAGCCAUGGAUGGGGAGGCCGAGGUCCCUGUGACCCCCCUUGGGGUCCAAGCACUCUUCUCUGCCCCCGCAACUUAUCUAUCUGUGGGUUGGAAAUAUAGUGUCUGAGAGGCACCAGGGACACUUGUCUCCCACACUGGUUUGCCAAAAUUCUAGGGUCUUCCCAUCCCAGCACUGCCUGGGCACCUUUGUGCCCAUCGUGGGAGGGUGCCCUGCUGAGGCUGUUUUAAAACUGGCACCCACAUUCUUUCCCUCAAGAGAUGGAGCCUGUGUCCCCUCCCCUUGAAUCUGGGGGUGGGGACUUGUGACUGCUUCUGAAGCUAAAAUGUGAUUUCUGCAGCUUCUGCCUGGAUAUCCUGGGCACUCACUCUUGGGACCCGGCCACCAUGCUGUGAGGAAGCUGAAUCACCCCACGCAGGAGCCACCUGGAGAGGCCAGACAUGCACCUAGGGUGGGGGGAGGGGGUGUCUGAGCUGGUUGGAGGAGGGAAGGCUGUUCACUGAGAGAGCAGACCCAGGAGCCCCAGUGGCAGAAGGGGCCCGGCAGGGAGUGCUGGGCAGGGAGCGCCCAUGUGCCCACCCGAGUGCCAGUGCCAGCCAGCUGCUGCCCGGAGAGCCCCGGCCCUCUGUAGCUAUCUGGCCUCUGCUCAUGGCUGUUGCUCAGAGAGAAUCUGACCAGCACUGACUUCACCUCCGCCCACCCCCUGAGGCGGCAGCUGGACCUCAGCGUUGCUUCAGGAAGAAGUCCUCAGCCAAUAGUGUCCAUGCCAAGGACAAAUCUGAGAGGCCACUAAAAAUGCCAGAGACAUGCAGGAUAAAAUACAGCCUGUCCCAUUAAAUUAUUGAUGCCUUUAACAUUAAUUACCAUCCUCCAAACCUGCAGUGGCUCACAUCUUCCCUCCUUCCUCCGGCUUGGAGAACCUUCAGCUAGAGCUCAGGCUGGAAAUGUAUUUUACUGUUUUCCCUGUGCCUCUGUCAUGCAGGGGUCUUGGAGGUGCAC
rnacentral:lncRNA from 1 species